AAUGAACGUUGGCGGCGUGGAUUAGGCAUGCAAGUCGAGCGAGAACUAGUAGCAAUACUGGGGAAAGCGGCGAAAGGGAGAGUAAUACGUAGGUACCUACCCUCGGGUCUGGGAUAGCUGCGGGAAACUGCAAUUAAUACCGGAUGACGUCUCUGGACCAAAGGUGUGAUUCCGCCAGGGGAUGGGCCUGGGUCCUAUUAGCUAGUUGGCGGGGUAAUGGCCCACCAAGGCUAAGAUGGGUACGGGGUGUGAGAGCAUGCCCCCGCUCACUGGGACUGAGACACUGCCCAGACACCUACGGGUGGCUGCAGUCGAGGAUCUUCCGCAAUGGGCGCAAGCCUGACGGAGCGACGCCGCGUGCGGGAUGAAGGCCUUCGGGUUGUAAACCGCUGUCAGUGGGGAGCAAAUGCAUCAGGGUUCUCCCUGGUGUUUGAGCGAUCCGCAGAGGAAGCACAGGCUAAUUCCGUGCCAGCAGCCGCCGUAA
rnacentral:rRNA from 1 species